rnacentral:rRNA from 1 species
GCAAAUGCACGUAGAGUAUGAAGGUGAGACCUGCCCAAUGGUUGUAUCUAAAAGGGUUGGUAAAGCCAACUUUAUAAAGACAAUUAAAUGGCCGCGGUAACACUGACCGUGAUAAUGUAGCGUAAUCAAUAGUCAAUUAAUUGUUGGCCGGUAUGAAUGGUGUCACGAGGGUCUCACUGUCUUAAGAAAAUGUCCAGUGAAAUUGAAUUUGUAGUGAAGAUGCUACAUCCAAAUUGUUAGACAAGAAGUCCCCAUGGAACUUUACUGGAAACUUAUGUGGCUUAAAUUAAUUUAUUUCUUACAAAUAAGUAGUUUUAAAAUGUGGUGUUAACCUCUUGGAUUAAUUGGGGUUAGAAAAGCUCACUCUUUUAUUUUAAGAAAGCCAACUCAAAAACUUAUGUCUUUGGGAUUGGAUAAGUGGGACAGUUUGGUUGGGGCGACCGCCUUUAAAAAAGUAACGAAGGCGGGCUUAAGAUAUAUUUUUUAGUUAUGUCUGACUGCGAAGGGGGAAUCCUGAGCAGGCACUUAUUUUUAGGUGGGGUUUAAGUGACCCGUUAAUUUAGGGUGAAAUAGUUAACGAUAAACAAAUAAAAGUUACCCUGGGGAUAACAGCGCAAUAACGUUUGAGAGUUUUCAUUGACGACGAUUUCCCGA